rnacentral:misc_RNA from 1 species
GGGAAAACUGUUCUAUUUUAUCAACUUCGUGAUGGUUCUUCUCAUCAGGGUACUGUCACAUCAAUGGAACCUAACGAGGGCACUUUUCUGCUUCAUUCUGAAAUAACAAAGAAGGACAAACUGAAGCCUGUUCAUCUUGUUGAUGUCCCUGGGCAUUCUCGGCUUCGAGCCAAACUAGAUGACUUUUUGCCUCUAGCAGCUGGUGUAGUCUUUGUGGUGGAUGCUUUGGAUUUUCUGCCCAACUGUCGUGCAGCCUCAGAGUACCUUUAUGACAUCCUGACUAAUGCGAGUGUUGUGAAG